rnacentral:misc_RNA from 1 species
UGCCGAUGCUCAGACAAUGUGCUCC